rnacentral:rRNA from 1 species
GAAAUGCGUAGUCGAUGGGAAACAGAUUAAUAUUUCUGUACUUAUAUAGUGAGUGAAGGAGAGACGGAGAAGGCUAGGCAAGCAUGGCGUUGGUAGUCCAUGUGAAAGUGCGUAGGUUGAUGGUUUAGGCAAAUCCGGACCAUCCUCUUUAAUGAGAAGACUAAGACACGAGACGAGACUCCACGGAGUCGAAGUUGUUGAUGCCAUACUUCCAGGAAAAUCUUCUAAGC